CUUUUUUUAUCGCUUGGAUGGGCUUAUAUUCCAGAUGUCGGGAAACCGACUAUGGCGUUACAGGGCUUUAUGGAAUAAGCGUUGCGGACCCGGGGGCGGUACCCGGCGCCUCCACCAAUUACCGAAACCGUUGAGGCUAGGCAUCUGGGGGCGAAAUAGGAUCGACGCGCGUGGUAAAGAUUUGGUCUGCGCCCGGCAUGGCACCACCGUUAUCGGGCUAAAUCGCUUAAUUGCGAACGACAACUUUGCGGGCGAAGCCCGUCUCGCUGCUUAGUCUGACUAAGUAAGCGCGGCCCGGGGGGCGCCGGGCAACAGAAGCCCCCCAC
rnacentral:tmRNA from 1 species